rnacentral:rRNA from 1 species
UACGUAGGGGGCUAGCGUUGUCCGGAAUCAUUGGGCGUAAAGAGCUUGUAGGCGGCCCGGUAAGUCCGCUGUGAAAGUCGGGGGCUCAACCCUGGAAUGCCGGUGGAUACUGUCGGGCUAGAGUGCGGAAGAGGCGAGUGGAAUUCCUGGUGUAGCGGUGAAAUGCGCAGAUAUCAGGAGGAACACCGAUUGCGAAGGCAGCUCGCUGGGACGUCACUGACGCUGAGAAGCGAAAGCGUGGGGAGCAAACAGG